rnacentral:rRNA from 1 species
UACAGAGGGUGCAAGCGUUAAUCGGAUUUACUGGGCGUAAAGGGCGCGUAGGUUGUUGCGUAAGUGAGAUGUGAAAUCCCCGGGCUUAACUGGGACGUGCAUCUUAGACUGCGUAACUUGGAGUGUAGUAGAGGGUAGUGGAAUUUCCGGUGUAGCGGUGAAAUGCGUAGAUAGUCGGAAGGAACACCAGUGGCGAAGGCGGCUACCUGGGCUAACACUGACACUGAGGCGCGAGAGCGUGGGGAGCAAACAGG